UGGGGAAUAUUGGACAAUGGGCGCAAGCCUGAUCCAGCCAUGCCGCGUGAGUGAUGAAGGCCCUAGGGUUGUAAAGCUCUUUCACCGGUGAAGAUAAUGACGGUAACCGGAGAAGAAGCCCCGGCUAACUUCGUGCCAGCAGCCGCGGUAAUACGAAGGGGGCUAGCGUUGUUCGGAUUUACUGGGCGUAAAGCGCACGUAGGCGGACUUUUAAGUCAGGGGUGAAAUCCCGGGGCUCAACCCCGGAACUGCCUUUGAUACUGGAAGUCUUGAGUAUGGUAGAGGUGAGUGGAAUUCCGAGUGUAGAGCUGAAAUUCGUAGAGAUUCGGAGGAACACCAGUGGCGAAGGCGGCUCACUGGACCAUUACUGACGCUGAGGUGCGAAAGCGUGGGGAGCAAACAGG
rnacentral:rRNA from 1 species